GUGGGACGCUAUCUCUCUUCGUUUACACAUCCUUGGAAUAGCAGAACAGCAUAACAAUCCGGACGGCCCUUGCUGUGCCUGGUGAGCAGUUUGUCAAGUUCUGUUGUCAGAAGAGGAAUGGAAAUGUCAGGGUGAACCGAUGACCUGACAAACCCACCACGUAUGUUGACUCUGCCUGUCGGAGGUGGAGUUCCAGAGGUCACAGGUGUUCCUGGCAUGGAUUGUGACUCCAUCUUGUUCCUCGCCCUCUUCAACGCGUCAUUCUCCGCCUGACUCUCCGCCAAUGCCGCCUGACUUUCUGCCAAUGACAAGUGUUUUUCCACCAAUACCGCCUGGCUCUGGACCAAUGCAUCAGCUGUCCCCCAUAUCUCUGGCCUCAGAUAAUGUUUCUCUUUCUGCUGUUAAGGUUGGAGUUUGGGGUGGGUGAGAGAGCUGGAAAGGCAUGACUUUCAUGUUACAAUACGCCAUAAGUAUACAGCAGAUCGACGAUUGUCCUUACUUUGAUUAUGCUGUAACAACAUACUGUAGCACCAUGACCAGGAUCUCAGGUUAUUUAAGUGAGCAGAUUAGGGCUUUCAGGAGGAACAGAAAAUCUACUGGAGACAUUUCAAAAAUACUCGUAGACUUGGGGAUUUUGGUCACGGACAGUGCUCUUCGCAAACACUAUCAUCAGAUGUCUGUCUUACGCCGAACAUGAAAGCCCGGGAAAAUGAACUGGUACAGUAGGCUAAAUACUGGAAAGUAGGCAUAGUAACGCAAAACAUAAUGCUUAAAUAAAUUGACUGUGUCACGACUUCUGCCGAUGUCGGUCCCUCUCCUUGUUUGGGCGGUGUUCGGCGGUCGACGUCACCGGCUUUCUAGCCAUCGCCGAUCCAAUUUUCAUUUUCCAUUUGUUUUGUCUUUGUCUUACACACCUGGUUUCAAUCCCCCAAUUACUUGUUCAUUAUUUAACCCUCUGUUCCCCAUGUUUGUUUGUUUGAGUAAUUGUUUGUCUUGUAUACGGUCUGUUAUUGUUGGCUCGGUAUAUUGUGGUGUAUUUGUGAAUACUUGAGUAAAUACGUUGAUUACUCAUAUCUGCUGUCCUGCGCCUGGCUCGCUACACCAGCUACACACAGGCCAAGUACAGACUGCUGCAAUUUUUACAUUGUAUUCCAUUUCCAGCAAAGCUAUUGAAGCGUUCGACUCACUAAUGGAUGAAGAUGCAAUGGCCAUCAAAAUUGCUACAGAAAAAAGGAAGAAGCUCAAGCAAGCCAAGUCCCAAGCAUCCCCUCAAACUCCAUGUGUGGAGGACAAUUUCUCGCCAGGGACCAGGCCCAUAUUUGAUUUUUGAUGGUAUCAAGAGAUAUGCUGGACCCUAUGUCAGAGGUGUUUGUGGGACCGCAUUGUUUCUUUCAAGACAAUGACCCAAACCAAAUCGGGGGAUUUUCACACCUACAGCAGCUGGGCUAUGCAGAGUUUGCGUGUCAAUUUAUAAACCAUGUGCCAUGGAAUUCUUCACAACUAUUUUGCAAUCUAUAUGGCUAUCCAACAUUUUGCGGUUGCAUGAGCUCUUGAGUUAGAAAUGUAAUAGUUUAGAGUACUUAAGCAUUGAAUAUAUUGCAAAUUGGGGGAUUUUCACACCUACAGUAGCCAGGCUAUAAAGAGUCUUUUGUCCUGCUAAUAGGAAACAUUGUUUGCAUGAUGGGCUACACCUGCUACAGUACUGCAGUACACUUAUGAAAACCUGUUUUCAAAAUGCCUCCAGAUGUCCGUCACUACUGUAAAUAAAAACACAGCAUAUUGUUUACAUUCUUUAUUGUAACCACAUUGUCACAAAUAAUUUGUAUCUACCUUUCCAAUUACUUUUCGAGUUUGGGAUUUACAAAAACCUUAGUAUAACAACAGUUUUAGUAAGUAAUAUGCUACAGUCCAGUUAAAGCUUGUUCUGAUCAAGUAGUAACAAAAAAAUAUGUGUAUUUUUUCGUUGUUUCUUUAGAGGGACCAUAAAUGUGAAUUAAUAUUUACAAAACAAUUCACCAAACAAAACUGCAACUUUUUAUUUAUUUAACCUUUACUUAACUAGGCAAGUCAGUUAAGAACAAAUUCUUAUUUACAAUGACAGCCUACCCUGACAAAACCCAGAUGAGGCUGGGCCAAAUGUGCGCCGCCCUAUUGAACUCCCAAUCACAGCCGGAUGUGAUACAGCUUGGAUCCAAACCAGGAACUGUAGAGAUGCCUCUUGCACUGAGAUGCAGU